AUUUAAGCUACUAUACACUGUGAUUGGAUUUUUUUAUUCUCUUUAUGUACCUCUCAUAUCCAUACUGAGUUUAGUUCAUAAUAUAGACUCUAAGCUGAGAAGUAAUAUAUAUUGAGGCAUCUAUUAAUGCUUCAUUUAAAACCCAUACCCUUACCUUAAAUUUUAGUGUAAUCCUGCUGACAAACUUGUGUGAGCCAACUAGGUAGAUUUUAGUUGAACAAUCUAGAUUCCUGCUUCUGUCACAAAACAGUUUAUACAAGUCAGCAGAAUUGGCAUAUAUCUGAUUAAAUGCAGUAGAGACAGAUGUAGUACACCUUUAGCAUGACUUACUCCUCUGUCAUUGGGAUAUGCUGUUCUCUUCAUAAAAUCACUUUUACUACAGAAAGUUAAAUAGCUCACAUUUUUGCUUUCUCCACUCUGCUUACUUAUGCAUAAAUAUUAUAGUCCCCUUGCCAAGUAGUCAGUAUUUAUAAAUAACAUAUUUACUAGAUUGACAACAUUAAGUCUAAAGAGAUAGACAUGGUGGUGACCAAAAGAGGAAUAUAUUGGGCAUUGUUACUUGGGAAAAGAUUUUAGCAUGGUAGUAUAGCUUGAUAGUAUUUGGUCAUAAUUAAGAGAUUAAAAAUUUCUUUCAUGACUUUGUUUCUUCACUCUUGCGAUGUCAUUUAUUGCAUAUAUUGAUACGGUUUUAAAAAAUUAAAAUUUACCUCUCCUAAACAUUUUCUGCCUUUGAAAAAGUCAUCGAAAAAUGUUUUGAAUAUAUACAAGAAUGAAAUUAAAGGGCAAAAAAAUAAGAGUUAAAGUUCUAUUCAUUUUUAUAUUAUUAGUCUAGGAAAGUGGUACAUUUAAUUAAACAUAGAAACUUAAAGACAUUGAAUACGACUUCUCUGUUGCUAUUCUAUGCCUUAUAAUACUCACUGCCAGACAGGGUAGGUAUGUAACUACUAACAACCCUAAAAUAUAACAAAUACAUCAACUGGAAAGCUUUGUAUAUUAUAAAAUUCUGUCAGCGUGGUAGGGUACCUGAGCAGCGAUCCUAUGGAGAGCUGAAACAGAGUAACUGCAGGCAGAAGAUAUCUUUUUAAAGGAACUUGCUGAUAAAAAGCUUCAACAGCAUGACAUAUCUCUGACUUGCUGGGAAACAGCAGCUGACAGAGCAAACCAACAUGUAACAAUUGGUUUCAGGGGUGAAUAUAUAGGACCAUAAACCAAAUGAAACUUGUGAACAGCUGCCAGAGUUGCAAAUCAAAAGCCAUUAUACACCUAUUCCAUGUGGGGCCAACUGUUGAAACUAAUAGCGCCCUUUCCUUUAGAUUUUCUUGAAUAAAGGCAGCUAUCAACUAGUGAUCAGACCAUAAGGAAUAUCAUUUUACUUAUGAUAGAGAAAUUAUAUACCAUUUGGAAAUUUUAUUUAAUCUAUUAUCCCUUUCAAUUUUGUAUUCAAAAUCUUUUCGUAAGCCAAGCCACCUUCCAAUAACAAUUAUUAAAUAUCUGAGCUUCAAUUGACUAUCAUGAUUUCUUGCAUUCUAAUCAACUAAAGAGAACUUCCAGAUAUAUUCUGUACUGUAAGUAAUUGAGCUAUUCCUCAUUAUGCCGGCCUUGAUUUGCAAAGGUGAUGAAAUAUCUUCACAGUUGAUGAGGAGGCUGGUUGCACCAAAACUUGCAAAAGUGUUUUCUUCAUUCUCACUACUGUAAAAUAAUGUGAAUUACAUAAAGGACUUUACUAGGCUGUAUACUGAAAGAACAAUAAAUCAUUAGCACCACAGGAGAGAGUUGUAAUAGCCUUUGAUUAAUCUAUAAUCUACCACUAUUGCAAUAUUCUUUGUUAAUGGAAUUUUCAAUUAGAAUGUUAUUUGAAACACAAUUCAUUUUACAUUUAUUAAACGUUCCGCAUACUAUUAUGUUGUCAUUAGGUAGCAUUUGGCAAACUGAUCAUUAAAGCAGCAAAUUUGGACCACAGAUUUGUUAUCAUUUUUGGGAGCUUGCAGUGGCUUUGGGAACUUUUUUUUAAACAGAUUUAAUGAUAAGAUUCCAUCAUCUUCUUUCACAGUUUUUUCAUCUCAUUAUUCCUAUUUGUGGAUGAACACUUGAAAAGAGAUUUAAUUGACUCAUAGUUCCACAGACUGUACAGGAAGCAUGGCUUGGAGGCCUCAGGAAACUUAAAAUCAUGGUCGAAGGUGAAAGGGAAGCAAACAUGUCUUACCGUGGCAGACAGGAGAGAAAGAGCAUCUUAAAAUUUUGAUCUAUUGAAUUCUGGCUGGCAUUGUUCCUGAUAAGAAGACAGUUGACUUUUCUGUCCUUGUGAAAGUUUGGGAAUUGAACAAUGAGAACACUUGGACACAGGGUGGGGAACAUCACACACCAGGGCCUGUCAUGGGGUGGGGAGGAAGAGGGGAGGGAUAGCAUUAGGAGAUAUACCUAAUGUAAAUGACGAGUUAACGGGUGCAGCACACCAACAUGGCACAUGUAUACAUUUGUAACAAACCUGCACAUUGUGCACAUGUACCCUAGAACUUAAAGUAUAAUAAAAAUAAAAAAUAAAAAAGAAGGCAGUUGACAUUCCUUUUAUUUUUCUUCUGUAUAUAAUAUACUGUUUAUUACAAGCUACUUUAUAUUUGAUUUUUAGUAAUCUUAUUGUGUUGAAUUGAGUGCUUUUUCAUUGGAUUUAUCCUGUUUAAAAUGAAUUGAGUUUCUUAGGCCUUCAGUUGAUAUUUUUCAUCAAAUUAAGUAAAAAAAAAAAAAAAAAUUAGCAUUAACUCUUCAAAUGUUUUUGAACCUUAUUUUCUCUCUCCUUCCUCUAGGACUUCAUUACGAGCAUGUAUGACUGCUUUAUUGUUCCAUGGAUCUCAAAGUCUCUGUUUAUUUAUGUAUUUAUUUUUUUCCUUUCUAUACUUCAGUUCAAUAGAUUGGCCUGUCUUUAAGUUCACUCAUUCUUUAUUCUCUAGUAUUCAAUAGCUGUUAAGUCCACCCUAUAGCUUUCUUAAUUUCAGAUAAUUUAUUUUUACAGUUUCAACUUAUAUGGUUUUUAUUUUAUCUGAUGAAAUUUUCAUCUCUUUACCCAUUUGUUUAUUUAUCAUUACUAUUUUUUAUUUUAGAUGGAGUCUUGCUCUGUUGCCCAGGCUGGAGUACAGUGGCACGAUCUCAGCUCACUGCAACCUCCGCCUCCCAGGUUCAAGCAAUUCUCUGCCUCAGCCUCCCAAGUAGCUGGGAUUACAGGCACCUACCACCAUGCCCAGCUAAUUUUUUGUAUUUUUAGUAGAGAUGGGGUUUCACCAUCUUGGCCAGGCUGGUCUUGAACUGUUGACCUCAUGAUCCACCCGCCUCGGCCUCCCAAAGUCCAAAAGUGCUAGGAUUACAGGCACGAGCCACUGCUCCCAGCCUGUGUUUAUUUUUUAUUGUAAAUUCUCAAACAUACAUGUAAUAGCUGUUUUAUUGAUUUUUUUCCUAUUACUUUCAAAACCUCUGGUCCCCUCUGUAUCUGUUUGUAUAGACUAUUUUCUUUUUCUUAUGGUCAUAUUUUUGCUUCUUCAUAUGUCUAGUAUAUUUUCUUUAUAAUUUAUAUCACACAUUGUUAGGGCCAUGUUGGUGAGCAGCCAGACUUAUUUCCCCCUUUUAAAAUGGUUGGAUUUUGUUCUGACAAGUAGUUAACUUACUGGUCCAACAACUUGAUCUUUUGAGGCUUGGCUUUUACUUUGUUAGAGCACUAUUACUAUAUAACUCUGCUUCUAAGUGUGGCACUUCUAGGGUCUGAAUGCCUGGGGUAUUCAUCAAAGAUUCCUGACUCAGGUUAAUCAGAACUCCACUGUUCCUCAGCACUUUGGUUUUUGGAAUAGCUAUUUGGCUCACAGCCUCCAGUAGCUCUUGUCUGUCAUGCCUAUGGUUUCUGACUGAAAUUGACCAACAAUUCAAAAUUCAAAAAUAAUCACUAUCCAAAAAUUUCUCUUCAGAAUUUUGGAGCUUUUUCUGUGACUGGUUCCCUCCUCUCUAAUACUCUGUACAUUAAAUUUCAGCUGCCACAGGCCACAGGGACUCCAAACUCCAAUCACUAUUCUUCACUAUUCUCUUUGCCCACUAAGAAACACCAGUCUCUGUUUUGGCUACAAUUUUUUUUUUUUUUUUUUUUUUU